UUAAAUACUUUUGUCAGAUUGGGGAAUGGUGGUUAAAAUAAUAGAUCAUACAAAACUCCCAUAAAUCCCAACAAAAAUGAAAACGGAGAAGGAAGGUAAAGUGACAGAAACUGUGAGAAACAAAUACAGUCACGCGGAAGCAAAAACCUACCGGUCCUCAUAUUGAAUUUCUCUCCCAGAUCAUUACCUUCCUCGUUUUCUUUCCAUCUUCUGAUCCUCUCUCGUGAACUGCCCCAUUUAGUUCCUUAUUCUUUUUAAUAAUGACAGUUUUGGCAUUUUUAGAGGAUUCUCUUUUGGUGAUCCAUUGUGGAAAUGAGAGGAAGGUCGUUUCGUUUGACAAGAGAUAGAUUUGGUCUUUCGGCCCAGCGAUAAAGAAGAUUGGGAAAUAUAGAGGAAUUGUUUCUCCUUUGAUUCACAACAUGAGCCCGCAAAGGCUGGCGACUAUUCGUGAUUUGGUGGAGGAAGCGAAGAAGCGGAUUGUGUUUCUGGUUAUAUGCGUUGUCGGCUUAUCUUACCUCAUGUCACGUAAGUUUCCGAUGUCUUCCUUGAUCGAAUUAUUUUCGUGCAUUUUUCUUUUUCAUUCUUAUUCCAGUUUGAUUAUUCCGUAUAGUAGCAGAUAUUAAAGCUCGAUUCUUUAGGGUUUUAUACGGUGAAAAUGUAAAGGUAAGAGUGGUAACUUCACAAUACGUGAGGUUUUGGUAGCGAGUAAUACGCACGUCUUAGACAUGUUGAAGUUUUCGUUUGUUCUAGAUGCUAUAAGUGUUAACCUUGAGGGCUACUAUUUUUUUUUUUUUUUUCUCUUUUCAAACAAUUCUGCGUCAAAUUUUUGGUGUUCGCGCAGACUAUAAUUGGCAGGAGAAAGAAGUGAGAGCAAGAUAAUUUUCCUCCAAACAUUCCUGAUUAUUGAGGGAAAAGAAAACUGUGGAUAUUGGAGUUUUCUUUCCACGAGUUGAAUGUGGAAAGUGAAAUGAAGUAGUUUUUUUUAAGAUAAAAAUGAAAUGAAGUAGUUCUUUUUGUUUUUUCCCCAUUCGUUCUCUUUCUCCUUCGACUUCUCCAUCUUCUCUAAUAAGGACAUGAUAAAAAGUUCAAUAUUUUUCUAUUUUUCUUUUCAUAUACGAUUAUAUUGUUUGGGUAAACAGCAUUCGUUAUAGUUUCAGUAAAAGGGUUAUAUGUCCUUUCAAAAGAAAAAAAAAAUUCAUAUUCUAUAUGCUGAUAAUGCAUCAACUUAUGUAGUUUCAGCAUUGGUUAUCUUGUGUUAUAUAAUGCACCAACUUGUGCUGCAGAUGUGAAUCCAGAAAGUAACAUGCUAUAAAGUUGUUGUGAACUCUAAAACUUAGACCAGGUGAUGGAACAAAAUCUUAGACACACCUGUUAGAUUGCAGCCGAACCUUAAAAAAGAUAAAGAUAACAAUGAAGUUACAACCUUCCGUUUUGGCAUCUUUCAUCACAACUGAUAUCGGCAUCUUCAAGAUGUCAGUAUCUGUUGACCAGUUGCUAUUGUCUUUUCCUACAAUUCAUGAAUAACUUUCUAACAUAUCAUGAACCUUUGAGCUAGGAAAUGUUGUGCAAACUUACUGGUUUUUCACGAGCUAAAUUACUUCAGGUGUUGAAGUCAGUGGAGGGUUCUUGCUUUACUCUGAUUUUUUUUCAUGUUUAUAGCAAUGAAGAUAGCUUUUGCAGGUACCUGAUUUAAUCAUUUCAAAAUUAUUAUACGACCUUUUUGUCACAAAUGAAGAUAGCUGGUGGGGACUGGGCAGGAAAACAUUCCCCUUUUCCCUUCAAGACAGAUUUGGAAUUCCAGGGGCCCGCCUAGAAUUGCUUUUUUCGCAUGGGAGGCUUGUAGAGGAAGUAUAUUGACACUUGAUAAGCUGAAGACCAGAGGCCAGAUUGUGGUUAAUGGGUGUUUUAUGUGCAAGAAGGCUGUGGAAUCCUGCUGCCACUUCUUCACUGCGAGGUGGUCCACGAGUUGUGAUGCCAGAUUUAUAGACUGAUUGGAAUCAAUUGGGUCAUCUCUGGUUCGGUUUUUGAUGAGAUCUGCGCCUUGGAGUGGGACUGACCUGAAAAAGAAUAUUGUUAAAAUUUGCCCUUUAACCCUUUUUUGGGCCAUUUGGAAAGAAAGGAAUAAGAGGGUGUUUGAUGGUAUUGAGAGGGAUAUUAAUAGACUAAGAGAUGUAUGGUUUAAUUAUUUUGGUAACGUUGUGUUAGGUCAUGAUAUCAUUAGAGAUGAGAAUUUUGGGGAUGUUAUUGACACCAGUAAAUUUGUAUAUGAGUGGUACCCUGUUUAUAUAUAUUUACAUUUUUUAUCUAAAAAAUUAAAUAAAUAAAAUUGAGGAUGCCUUUCCUAAAGUAUUUACAAUGUUUUAGGAUCCCGCAAACUAUAUAAGAUGGCCGUACUCUUGCAGAAACUACAGAGAUUAUUGAUGCAGAAGAGGGAAGAGCCCCAUAAUGGAGGGAUUACUACAAUAUUAAGAUGUUAUAUAAUUAUGAUCUUUUAUGGAUCAUCAAAGAUAUGUAGUCGAUUUAGGAAAUUAUUAUUAAUUUAAGUUUAUUAUUUCUUAUUUAGUUAAGAGUCCUAUUCAUUCCAUGCUUCCUAUUUCAUAUUCUAGAAAUCAUAAGAUAUCUAGAAACCGUGUUAAUAGUUGGCACUGCUCAAUUAUUAGGAAGAAUCUUAUGAAGAAAACUUCAUUGAUAUUAUCUCAUGCUAUAGUGCCUAAAUAACCUUGUGAUUAUGGUUGUGUUCUUGAUCCUGCAAUUGUGGAUUAACAGUCACAGUUGUUGUGGUGGAUUGAAUUUUUUUAUACUUACAUUUUUGAACUGCUAUUCAGCUGUGCUACAUUAAUUAUCUUGAGUGCAAACCACUUUAUAAGUUCAGCAAUACUUGGAUUCAGGAUCCUAGCUCAUUCAAGACUGUCUUUCACCAGAACACUCUGCUGCUACGAUACAAUUAAAAAUCUUUUCUCUUAUUUUCUUUAAUUUCAGUUCUUCAACAAGAAGUUUUGAGUAUUGCCAUUUACAGUUUCUUCAAAACAGUUAGCUAUCAGCAUCCUAUAGUAAAACCAUCAAUUCACUAAUUAUAGAAAGUAUCUUGACCUCCUUGAAUUUAGUAGCUUUAGAGUUGGUUCCUUACCAAAACAUUGUCUCUUGCCUCGAGAAAUGAACCCUUAAUCUUGAAGGAUGGUUGAGAAGUCUAGAAUGCUCUAUUUGCUUCGUUAUUAUGCUAUAAUAGAGUUGAUUUUUCUUUUCCUGCUAAAGAGACUAGUGGGAAGGGGUGAUGAAUGUAGCCAAUUUUCCUUGGGUUUGACCAUAGGGAUUCUCACCCACUUUAGAAUGUUUGAUUUGGAUCUUAGAUAUUACUCUUAUAGCAAAUCUUGAUGCAUAGUAGAUUAACUUUAAAUUGCCUAAACGGAUUAAAAAUUAUAAUACUAUUAAGUGUAAAGCUACUAUAACAUUAAGUAGUAUAUUAUUAUAGUUUUAGUAUUAUUUCAAAAAAAAAAAUUAUUAUAGUUUUAGUAACUUUAAGACUUUAUUCUUAUUAAGAUAAGACAGUGUGGAAUUUGAAGAAAGAUAAUAUCUUUACUCUUAAGUUCUUUUAUGACUAUUUGGCCAACAGAGAUGGGGAAGAUGUGAGAUUUCCGAUUUUACAAAUAUGGAAAGUGAAGGCGCCUCUGAGAAUCGUUCCGCUUGGGAAGCAGGUUGGGAAUGUAUCCUCACUAUCGACAAGUUGAUGAGAAGGGGGUCACAUUAUGGUUAAUGGGUUUUUAUUUAGGUAAGGAGACGGCUGAAUCGUACAAUCAUCUUCUUCUUUGGUGUCUGGUGACUUAUAGUAUCUGGAACAUAGUUUAUGGUUUGUUGGGUAUCAAUUGGUUGAUUGGGGGUUCGGUGAAAAAUGAACCUUGGGUUUGGAAUGGGAUUGAUAAGAAUUUAAAAUUUGUUAAGCUCAUUCCAUUAACUAUUUUUUGGAAGAUCUAGAAGGAGAG
rnacentral:lncRNA from 1 species